rnacentral:rRNA from 1 species
UACGUAGGGGGCAAGCGUUGUCCGGAAUUAUUGGGCGUAAAGAGCGUGUAGGCGGUCCGGUAAGUCAGCUGUGAAAGUCAAGGGCUCAACCCUUGAAUGCCGGUUGAUACUGUCGGGCUAGAGUCCGGAAGAGGCGAGUGGAAUUCCCGGUGUAGCGGUGAAAUGCGCAGAUAUCGGGAGGAACACCAAUGGCGAAGGCAGCUCGCUGGGACGGUACUGACGCUGAGACGCGAAAGCGUGGGGAGCAAGCAGG